rnacentral:rRNA from 1 species
AUUGAACGCUGGCGGCAGGCUUAACACAUGCAAGUCGAGCGGGGGAAGGUAGCUUGCUACUGGACCUAGCGGCGGACGGGUGAGUAAUGCUUAGGAAUCUGCCUAUUAGUGGGUGACAACAUCUCGAAAGGGAUGCUAAUACCGCAUACGUCCUACGGGUGAAAGCAGGGGAUCUUCGGACCUUGCGCUAAUAGAUGAGCCUAAGUCGGAGUAGCUAGUUGGCGGGGUAAAGGCCUACCAAGGCGACGAUCUGGAGCGGGUCUGAGAGGAUGAGCCGCCACACUGGGACUGAGACACGGCCCAGACUCCUACGGGAGGCAGCAGUGGGGAAUAUUGGACAAUGGGGGGAACCCUGAUCCAGCCAUGCCGCGUGUGUGAAGAAGGCCUUAUGGUUGUAAAGCACUUUAAGCGAGGAGGAGGCUACUUUAGUUAAUACCUAGAGAUAGUGGACGUUACUCGCAGAAUAAGCACCGGCUAACUCUGUGCCAGCCGCCGCAGUAAAAC